GUGAUAUUACGCCGUACAAAAACCCUUUGUUCCUGUAUGGACACAUCAACACUGAACAGGUCAAAUUAACACCCCCCAGGACAAUGGUGGUAACCCUGAUGAAACCUCACCAUAAACAGGAUUUUGGCCAUACUGUUGGGUUUUAUACUACAACAUGAAUCCAUAAACUUGCAAACAACUGUCACAAAUUGACAAUGGAUACACCUUUUGUCAGAAACAAAAAUCACAAACAUUGAAGAGUAAUCCACCAACUCAUAGAGAAUAUCAUUCUGUAAGAUUCUUUAGCUUCUUCUACCUCAGAGCAGAGUCAUAUGGAAUCCCUAUGGAGAUGUGAAGGGGGUGUUUUUGUGCUGGGGUAUAUCACUGUGAUAUGGGCUGGGGGGCACUGUGAAAUGAGGCUGUACAAAAACCUCAGAGACAAAACCUGCAUUAUAUCUGCAUGAUGAUUGGGACAAUAUUCUUCAAAUGAAAAAGGUAUUCAAACUGAAUUCACAACAUCUGUCCUUAUGGAAUCAGGUGUAUGAUAGUAUUACAAUAUUGCAUUUAUAUUAAUAUUUAUUGGAUUCAUUAUCAUGACUUUAAAGCAACCUAUUUAGGUGCAGGGUUUUUGUACAGGCAAUGAAUGGAGACAGAGCAUUGUGAUGCUUUUGACUACUGGGGUAAAGGGACACAAGUCACCGUCUCAACAGAGAACAUCCUACUGACUGAGCCUGAGGCGGGCUUCGCUCUGAGCUGCACGGACAACUUUGAGGAUGAGUUCAGCAGCCUGUGGUCCACCACCUCCUCCUUUAUCAUCCUCUUCCUUCUCUCCCUCACCUACAGCACAGUACUCAGCCUGGUCAAGAUGAAGCAGUGAAGAACACAUGAUGGACUGCAGAGAUAGAUGUGUCUAGAUUAGAAAGAUAAUGGUCUGGGAUGGUUAUGGAGUAGUGUUCUUCAGUAAUAAUGUUAUGUAUAUAUCCUAUACAUUAUUGAUUUUGAUUGAUUAGUAUUGUUGUUCUCAAUAUUAUACAAGCAUUGUAGUGAUGUGUUAUUUUUCAUUUGUUCAUUUCUAUUGUACAGUAUCUUUAAAUAUAAGAGUAUCCUGUGA